rnacentral:sRNA from 2 species
UAUUCUGCCCCACGGGGAAGGAUGAGAAGCUUCGACUAAGGUUCGACUCGAGCGAAGCGAGAGAACGUUGCCGCAGGCAAUGGCCCGAAGGCGAGGCGCUUUAGCGCCGAGUAAUCCUUCCCCCCACCA